rnacentral:rRNA from 1 species
UGGGGAAUCUUGGACAAUGGGGGCAACCCUGAUCCAGCGAUGCCGCGUGAGUGAAGAAGGCCUUCGGGUCGUAAAGCUCUUUAGGUUGGGAAGAAGGUUAUGUGGGGAUAAUCCAUGUAACUUGACGGUACUAACAGAAUAAGCACCGGCAAACUCUGUGCCAGCAGCCGCGGUAAUACAGAGGGUGCAAGCGUUAAUCGGAGUUACUGGGCGUAAAGGGCGCGUAGGCGGUUUUAUGGGUGUGAUGUGAAAGCCUUGGGCUUAACCUGAGAAGUGCAUCGCAAACUAUAAGACUGGAGUAUAUGAGAGGGUGGCGGAAUUUCCGGUGUAGCGGUGAAAUGCGUAGAGAUCGGAAGGAACGUCAAUGGCGAAGGCAGCCACCUGGCAUAAUACUGACGCUGAGGCGCGAAAGCGUGGGGAGCGAACAGGAUUAGAUACCCGGGUAGUCC